GACGAACGCUGGCGGCGUGCUUAACACAUGCAAGUCGAACGAAGUGGCAGACGGGUGAGUAACGCGUGAGAAACCUACCUCUUACAAAGGGAUAGCCUCGGGAAACCGUGAUUAAUACCAUAUGGAAAGAGAGGGGCUCGCGUCCCAUUAGCUAGUUGGUGAGGUAACGGCCCACCAAGGCGACGAUGGGUAACCUGCCUGAGAGGGGAAACGCUCACAUUGGAACUGAGACACGGUCCAAGCUCCUACGGGAGGAAGCAGUGGGGAAUAUUGCACAAGGGAGGAACCUCUGAUGCAGCGACGCCGCGUGAGCGAUAAAGGAAUUCGUUUCGUAAAGCUCUGUUCUAUGGGAGGCUGUACCAUAGGAUAAAGCCCCGGCUAAAUACGUGCCAGCAGCCGCGGUAAUAC
rnacentral:rRNA from 1 species